GGCGGUGUAGCUCAGUCUGAUAGAGCAAUCGGUUCAUACCCGAUUUGUCACUGGUUUAAAUCCAGUCGCCGCCACCA
rnacentral:tRNA from 1 species